GGCUUCAUAGCUCAGUUGGUUAGAACGCCAGUCUAGUAAACUGAAGGUCGAGGGUUCGAAUCCCACUGGUGUCU